UACGUAGGUGGCAAGCGUUGUCCGGAUUACUGGGCGUAAAGAGCGCGCAGGCGGUCGGAUAAGUCGAAUGUGAAAGCCCCCGGCUCAACUGGGGAGGGUCAUUCGAUACACUGUUCGACUCGAAGGCAGGAGAGGGAAGUGGAAUUCCCGGUGUAGUGGUGAAAUGCGUAGAUAUCGGGAGGAACACCAGUGGCGAAGGCGACUUCCUGGCCUGUUCUUGACGCUGAGGCGCGAAAGCUAGGGGAGCAAACGGGG
rnacentral:rRNA from 1 species